rnacentral:siRNA from 1 species
CACGGAUCCGGCGGGCAAGGAAUC